CUCAUGAAGUAGAUCGGCUGAGUGUCUGAAAUCCUGCCGAGCUUUGUUGGAACGAAGGAUUCUGUUCUAGUGUUGUUCUAAUUCUAUGGCUACUGGUAAAGCAUAGCGAUUGGGAUACCGACAUUGUAAUUCUUUGAUAUCUAGUCUAAUUCUUUCGUCCUCAUCGUAUUUUUAAUUCAUCAGUAUGUUGUAGGAAAUUGUUCGAUGCUUGUAAGAUAUCUAGUACCACAUGUCAAUUUUUAGAAGUUUUCAUCAGCGUUAAGAGCUAUAGGUAAUUGAGUUCAUCUGAAAUUGGGAGCUUAUUUUGAAAUGUGAAAUUCGAUCUUAACUGUAAGUUGUUUGUAACAUUGUUGGCUUCCCUCUCAGUGCUCAUCUGAUUAUUGAAAUGGGAACUGCUAACUAUCACCUUGAGUGUUUUAGAGGGAUGCGAUGCCUGGAUUUUUUUGGCCUCAAAUUUGUGCUUAAGGGAUUGCAAGUGAAUAAUGUUUGAUCAAUGUGCUAUUUCUCCACUGUCACUGAAAGCUGUCAAGGAUGCUGGAUAUGAAAGGAUGACCCAGGUGCAAGAGGCUACUCUGCCAAUAAUUCUUGAAUGAAAAGAUGUCCUUGCAAAAGCAAAGACAGGAACUGGAAAAACAGUUGGCUUUUUGGUAUUUAUUGCCCUUCAGCCCAACUAGUCAAUUUGAUUGUCAUAGUAGUUUACUCAACUAUUGCAGUGAUACAACUGUGGGAUUAACCCAUCUGACUGAGUUUACUUUAGCUUCCAGCCAUCGAAGUUCUCACUGCAUUACCUCGUUAAACGUCUAUAAAUUUGCUGGUGAUGUGCCCUACCAGGGAGCUUGCAAACCAAGUGGCUUCAGAGGCUCGGAAGCUUCUCAAGUAUCAUCGCUUAUUGGGUGUUCAGGUUGUAAUAGGUGGCAUACGGUUACCGCAAGAGCAACGGAGCAUGCAAGCUAACCCAUGUCAGAUUCUUGUUGCUACCCCUGGAAGGCUUAAGGAUCAUCUUGAGAACACACCUGGAUUCUCGACCCGAAUUAAAGGUGUCAAGGUUCUUGUUCUUGAUGAAGCUGACCGCCUACUGGAUAUGGGAUUCAGAAGAGAUAUUGAGAAAAUAAUUGUUUCUUUCCCAAAGAAAGGCAGACACUGCUUUUUUCUGCUACUGUUCCAGAAGAGGUUCUCUUGUAAAAGGAUAUAAAAAUAAAACACGCGUAUUCAUUGAGAAAUUUAUCUGAUCUUGUAGGUUGGCCUGCCUGCUGAUAGAGAACAGUAUAUACACAGUCACACAGACUUGGUAGGACUGGACGGAAAGGCAAGGAAGGCCAGGGCAUCUUACUGUUGGCUCCCUGGGAAAUGCAUUUUCUUAGUACGGUUAACGAUUUGUCAAUAUCAGAGGCUGUGGCACCUUCAGUUGAUUCAAGCAUUCGGGCAGUGGUCAAAGAUGCAGUCACAAGAGUGGAGAUGAAGAGCAAGGAAUCAGCCUAUCAGGCAUGGUUAGGGUACUACAACUCAAACAAGUCCAUCAGUCGAGACAAGGCCAGACUUGUUAGGCUGGCUGAAGAGUUCAGCCAGAGCAUGGAGCUUGAAGUCCCGCCAGCCAUACCCAAGCUCAUUCUACGGAAGAUGGGCCUUAGCAAUGUUCCUGGGCUCCGGUCUGCAUAACUAUGAUAACCCAAAUUCAGCAGAAUUUGACCAAACCAUACUGCUCACAGCUUGGUUUUGGAUAUCAGCACUUCAGCAGAUUGUUUUUUCUGAAGUUCAGAAGUUUCUGACCAUGCACCAGGUUCAGAAGCCAUGGCUUCAACAAUGACUGCUCCAUCUUAUCCGAAGCUGAAUCUUGACGGGUCCGUUAUCCACAGCAGACAGGUUCAAACAGCCCACCAAUGACUAUUGUUCAUAUAGCAAGUUGUUCUAAAGGCUAUGGAUUUGAUCCUGAUGACCUGAUCCAGUUUGAGAAAAAGAUGUGUGUGUGCACGCUGCCCCUCAGGCUAGAUAUCCGUGGAUUGUACCACUACAUUUCUUUAUCAGAUACUAGUAUCAUCCCAUUUCUUCCAUUCGAGCAUUAUUAUUUACGAGUGCACAUUUUUCUCGUUCCUCGAUGAUACCAUCUGAAUUAUAAUUUGUGCUCAGGCAAUGACCAAGUUCCUCGA